rnacentral:rRNA from 1 species
UACGUAGGUGGCGAGCGUUGUCCGGAUUUACUGGGCGUAAAGGGAGCGUAGGCGGAUUUUUAAGUGAGAUGUGAAAUACUCGGGCUCAACUUGAGUGCUGCAUUUCAAACUGGAAGUCUAGAAUGCAGGAGAGGAGAAUGGAAUUCCUAGUGUAGCGGUGAAAUGCGUAGAGAUUAGGAAGAACACCAGUGGCGAAGGCGAUUCUCUGGACUGUAACUGACGCUGAGGCUCGAAAGCGUGGGGAGCAAACAGG